GAUCCCAUCAGAACUCCGAAGUUAAGCGUGCUUGGGCGAGAGUAGUACUAGGAUGGGUGACCCCCAGGGAAGUCCUCGUGUUGCAUCCCU
rnacentral:rRNA from 1 species